AAAGGAAUAGACGGGGGCCCUCCCCCUCUUUUUCUCCUUUUUUUUCCUUCUCCUCCCCGCGAAGAACCUUACCAGGUCUUGACAUCACCUAGCAAGCCAUGGAAACAUGGCCCUCCUUCGGGACUGGGUGACAGGUGGUGCAUGGUUGUCGUCAGCUCGUGUCGUGAGAUGUUGGGUUAAGUCCCGCAACGAGCGCAACCCUUGCCUUUAGUUGCCAGCAUUAAGUUGGGGACUCUAAAGGGACUGCCGGCGACAAGUCGGAGGAAGGUGGGGAUGACGUCAAAUCAUCAUGCCCCUUAUGAUCUGGGCUACACACGUGCUACAAUGGGUGGUACAGAGGGAAGCGAAGCUGUGAGGCGGAGCGAAUCCCAGAAAGCCACUCUCAGUUCGGAUUGCAGGCUGCAACUCGCCUGCAUGAAGUCGGAAUCGCUAGUAAUCGCGGGUCAGCAUACCGCGGUGAAUACGUUCCCGGGCCUUGUACACACCGCCCGU
rnacentral:rRNA from 1 species